rnacentral:rRNA from 1 species
AUGAACGAACACAUGAUGAAAAUCCUGAGGAGGAUGACGUGGAAACCCUUGGUAGGGGUAAGAGACAAAGGACUCGAGAUGGAUUCCAUCAUGGCUAACGGGAUAUGGGAGAUCACUGAGCGUCCCUAUGGUUGCAAACCAUUGGGAUGUAAGUGGGUGUUCAAGAAAAAGCUUAGGCCCGAUGGUACGAUUGAAAAGUACAAGGCCAGGCUUAUGGCCAAGGGCUAUGACCAGAAAGAAGAGGAAGAUUUCUUUGAUACUUAUUCACCUAUGGCUAGACUGGCCACCAUUCGAGUAUUACUCUCGUUGGCGGCCUCACAUGGUAUUCUCGUCCAUCAAAUGGAUGUUAAGACGGCUUUUCUGAAUGGAGAGCUAAAUGAGGAAAUCUACAUGCAACAGCCAGAUGGCUUUGUGAUAGAUGGUCAGGAAAGUAAGGUGUGUAAGUUGCUGAAAUCUUUAUAUGGCCUGAAGCAAGCACCUAAGCAAUGUCAUGAUAAGUUCAAUACAACUCUGACAUCUGUUGGUUUCAUUGUUAAUGAGGCUGACAAAUGUGUAUACUAUCUCCAUGGUGGGGGCAAAGGAGUUAUACUGUGCUUGUAUGUUGAUGACAUACUGAUAUUCGGAACAAACCUCAAAGUCAUUGAGGAGGUCAAAUCGUUUCUGUCUCAGAACUUUGAGAUGAAGGACCUUGGUGUGGCUGAUGUCAUCUUGAACAUCAAGCUACUGAGAGUAAUGAGGGUGGGAUCACACUUCUGCAAUCCCAUUAUGUUGAGAAGGUGUUGA